rnacentral:rRNA from 1 species
ACGAACGCUGGCGGCGUGCUUAACACAUGCAAGUCGUACGGUAAGGCCCUUUCGGGGGUACACGCGUGGCGAACGGGUGAGUAACACGUGAGUAACCUGCCCACAACUUUGGGAUAACGCUAGGAAACUGGUGCUAAUACUGGAUAUGUGCUCCUGCUGCAUGGUGGGGGGUGGAAAGCUCCGGCGGUUGUGGAUGGACUCGCGGCCUAUCAGCUUGUUGGUGGGGUAGUGGCCUACCAAGGCGGCGACGGGUAGCCGGCCUGAGAGGGUGACCGGCCACAUUGGGACUGAGAUACGGCCCAGACUCCUACGGGAGGCAGCAGGGGGGAAUAUUGCACAAUGGGCGCAAGCCUGAUGCAGCAACGCCGCGUGCGGGAUGACGGCCUUCGGGUUGUAAACCGCUUUCAGCAGGGACGAAGCUUUUUGUGACGGUACCUGCAGAAGAAGCACCGGCUAACUACGUG